GUCCACGCCCUAAACGAUGAUGACUAGUUGUUGGAGGAGUUAAAUCCUUUAGUAACGCAGCUAACGCGCGAAGUCAUCCGCCUGGGGAGUACGGUCGCAAGAUUAAAACUCAAAGGAAUUGACGGGGGCCCGCACAAGCGGUGGAUGAUGUGGUUUAAUUCGAUGCAACGCGAAAACCUUACCUACCCUUGACAUGUGCGGAACCCUGCAGAGAUGCAGGGGUGCCCGAAAGGGAACCGCAACACAGGUGCUGCAUGGCUGUCGU
rnacentral:rRNA from 1 species